UCGAGCGAUUCGAUAGCCCACAGAAGAGCGGAGAACAGCGCACGUCCUUCCCACUCUCCCCUCACGACGUGCUCGCUGUUAUACGCCAAGAGGCCGACAAACCCACGUACGUACGCGUAUACACACAUACGCGGACACAACAACAAAUCCAUAGACUGGUGUGGCUUAUCGAACCUUCCGUUAUUACUGGCUCUCUCUCUCUCGUGAUCACCUCGUCUUUUUCUCGCGCAGCCUCCUUCAUCAUGUACCGCGGCAGGAGACUGUCCAAGAUGCCUCAGAAAGAGGCUCCAGAGUCUGCGGCGCAUGCACCAGAGCCUGCCCCAGCUCCGAGUGUGUAUCCCAUGCCUGCGACUCCCAAGACAAGCAUUCACGCCGAGACGGUGCGGAUGAAAGAGAAGUAUACUGCGCCAUUUAUGCUGUACGAUUCUCAGGCGCGGCGCAUCGUUGCGAACCGCCAAUACGAUCGUGCUCUUGUCGCCGAGAUGCAUCGCGUGCAGAGCAUCAUUGUCACACAACUGCGCACCCCGAUCCACGCGCACCUCUCCUACACCCCAAAGGAACUGCUCUACGAGCUGGAGGCUGCGCUGUACCACGUUUGCGCCUCCCUCGCCGUCCAAGACAACGUGUCCUCCCUGCGGCACGUACUCAAUGACGCCGAGGCAGACCCGCUCAUGCCGCAGCUAGAGUCCUUUCUCGCUCAUCACAACGCACCCGCGAAGACGGUCGUCGCUCUUGCACAUUGUCUCAGCGAGGGCACCUCGCACGACGUCCUUACAUCGUUUCUGCAGAUGCUUGAGCAGCGAGUGCAGCAGGAGCGGGACCCCGCGGUGGAUUGCAAACGCUCUGCGGAUGAGCGCCGCGCCCUGCUCGCGACUAAGAACAACCUGCAAGACAUCGCGCAGCUGGUGCGCGAUGUGCAGACGGCGUACCGCAGUAUCGACACUGCGUCGCAGGCGCUGCGCCGGCAGCCACAGAGCGACCCGACCGAGGUGGACACGCCUCGAAGCCUGGCAGCUAACGCUGUCCCCGCCAGGAUUGUCGAGGAGGCGUUCUACAAGGUGCUGCGCUGGGUGGUCGCUGUGGACGCCGAUCGACGUGCGCUGAGGGCGGUGGCUACAAGCACUGCCGCCGCGACCGCAGCAGAUUCUCCUCCGGCGACGACACCGAUGCCCGAGACGGCUGUGACACCAUCCACGGCUAAAGUGAAGGCGUUCGCAAAAGUGAUCGAGUACGACCCAUAUACGGGACAUCUAACGCUGGAGCGCGCUGAUGUGGCGCAGCGUUGGGGGCUCCUCUUGAACGACAAGGGUCUCCUUGUGGGCGUGGAGAAUGAGCUGCGCAACUCUAGCGAGGCUGGAGACCGCCUGUACGAUGCCGUCCAGCAGCAGUCUGGUGAGGCUGGCGGUCUAGCCAUUUUCGAGGUCAACCGCCGCCGCGUACGCGCUGUCCACAUGAGCAGCGAGGAGGUCGCUUCCAGCCGCGACGACAUUAUGCAGAAGCUCCGCGCAAGCCUUACGCAAACCACGAAGACGCUUUCCCUCACCCUUGAGAGGCGCAAGCAGGCGGACUUAACGGUGCCCCGCGAGGUUCUGUUCGAAGUGUCCUACCAAGGCGGCGAGGGCGGCAUCGGCCAGCGCUGUCUCCUCAUGGUGGAGCGCGCGUCGACGUCCAUCUCGUGGGGACUGAAGCUGCAGUAUCUGAAGGGCGCAGCCGCUGUUCUCUCUGACUUCGCGCCAAACAUGAAGCUCUCCAACGCUGCCAAGAAUCUUCUGUUUGACAUGCGAGGCCGUCUCCGUGUUCUGAAGGUCAACAACCACGACAUGGCACAGCUGUCCGUGGCGGAGAUGAAGAGUCUCAUCUCCGGCUCGCUGCUGCUCACCCUUCAUCUGCAGGUGACCGAUGCAAAAGCGGACCUGCCGCCUGAGGCCGAGGCGACGCUGUCCUCUCAAGUGGAGCGGCCUCUUUCCUCCGAAGAGGUAGCACAUGCGCAGGAGACGCCAGCGGUGGAUGCAGCACCUUCAGAGGCGCAGAAGGAAGCAGCAGCCGUUGCAGAGGCUGAGGCAGCAGCUGAUGAGCCGGCAGAGGCGAAAAAGAUGGUGAGUUCGGCACAAGGCGAAAUCGACGAUCUGGCCGACUCGAUUGCGGACGAGUUUCUGAAGCAGCACUUUCAGGAGGCGAAGCUCGAGGCCACGGCAUCCGAUAAGGCUGAUGCGCCUGCUGCGGAGGAGGGGGGCGCGGAGGCUUUCGAGGCGCUGGAGGAGCUGCACUGGGCCAGGCCUACUACCACGAUUGGAGCCCCUGAGGCCGCGGAUGAUCACAGUGGCGACAUGGACGCUGAGAAGGAUGCGAGCUUGGAGCAGCUAUCGCUUCAGCAGCACUACAAAGACGACGACGGUACAAAGGGCGCUGCGACUGGUUUCGCAGAUGAGGAGACGGCUGAUCACGCACUCAUGGAUGGUUUCAAGGAUGUUGCUGAUGGCGAGGACGUCCCUAAGGCGGAGGAAUCGGAUAAGCCGAUCGCUGAAGGAGAGGAGAACGCGGCGGAGCACGGGGUUGCUGCGGACGUGGAUGCCGCUGAGCAGGAAGCGAAGGACGGCAUCGAGGCAGCUGAGGAUGAGGCCGAGGCGGAGCUGCCAAAGAAGACGCGCGAGCGCAAGAAGGCACCUGCCAAAACGGCAAAGGCGCGUGCGAAGAAGGGCGAAAAGAAUGCACGGGGCGGCGGCCGCGGGAAGAAGGGCGGGAAGUGUGCUGCAGACGACGGGCAAGGGGCAGACGACAACGAGGACGCGUCUGCGCAGGAGGCCGUGGAGGAGGACGACACGCAGCUGGAGAACUUCAAGGACAAAGAAGCCGCUGAGGUGUCGCUAGGCAGAGCCGCGCUCGCAGAGGAGGCAGAGCCGCUUCAGUCCGAAGCCGCUGCAGGCGACGCUGCGAUCGAGGGUGCGGAGGCGAAGCAGAGGCGCGGUGUCGGUUCAAAGGCGUCUGCCGUUGCAGCGGCGACAUCUGAAGAAGACGGAAGAGGCGCGGGCGCCGAAGAGGAUACCGGUGCCAUAGAGCCAGACGACAGCGGCAAGGGUUCCGCCUCAGCUCCGGUGGACAUGCCACUCGUCGACCUCCCGCCUACUGCCGCGGAGGUGGCCAUCGAACAUGGGCGGGAAAACACCAAGAAGAAGCAGUCCGCGAAGGCGGACGCCACGGAGGCGGCUCUCGCCGCUGAGGAUGGAGUAGACGAUGUGGCGCGGAUCUCGCUGAGCCGACUGCUCGAAGCACAGCCGCUGACCUUCGAUAACGAUGUCCGGCUCGAGAAGUUCGAUGGCUCGACGUUGGAGCUGGAGCGGUCGAGUACGAAGCGCCCGUGGAACAUCAAGGUGGCCUUUGCGGGAGAUGACAUUAUCAUGACGAAACUGCCACCCUUUGCUUCGAAACAGCAGGCACACCCAUUUCUGCGCUCUCUGCGCGCAGGCCCGCAGGGUGAGGUGAAGUGGGUGGUGGACGGCCUGAAUGGGCAGGACCUCUCCGUGAUGACCAAGUCCAACAAGACAAAGGCGUUGGACGCUAUCAAAGGCUCCACGAAGCUCUCCUUCGUUUUGAGGGCCUUCGAAAGUGAUCUUCCAGAGUCAGCGAGCGGGGAAGGUUUGUAGCGUGGCGCCACAUGUCGCGUCUAUCCGCGUGUUAGUGCUGUCGCGGCGAGGGCGGUUUUUCCUCUUCGAGCACGACUACCAUAGGGAUGCGAGAAGGACAUCUUGUGCAGGUGCUUCAUAGAUGAUUCGCUGGCGGUGCGUGUCUGUAUAGGGAUGGAGCUGUUCAGACACGACUGCUGUCUUUUAUACAUGUGAGUCUCGAUAGUCCUUUCUGAUGGGCAGUGACUUGCUCAUGUAAUAGACGAAGCAAACGACGUCAUCGUGUGCAUGGCAGCGCAGCAAUGCGGCAUUGCCUUGCUGCUAGCCACUUUUUUUUUGUUUUCUUUCGCUCGUACAUUCUCGCGGAUCUUCUCCACUGCAGAUCCCCCUCCCAUCGCUAGCGUUGCUUGUUGUCACCACCGUAGUGCCUCAUUCUGUUUUGCGCUGU
rnacentral:misc_RNA from 1 species